rnacentral:rRNA from 1 species
GACGAACGCUGGCGGCGUGCUUAACACAUGCAAGUCGAACGGAAAGGCCCUGCUUUUGUGGGGUGCUCGAGUGGCGAACGGGUGAGUAACACGUGAGUAACCUGCCCUUGACUUUGGGAUAACUUCAGGAAACUGGGGCUAAUACCGGAUAGGAGCUCCUGCUGCAUGGUGGGGGUUGGAAAGUUUUGGCGGUUGGGGAUGGACUCGCGGCUUAUCAGCUUGUUGGUGGGGUAGUGGCUUACCAAGGCUUUGCCGGGUAGCCGGCCCGAGAGGGUUACCGGACGCAUUGGGGCUGCAUUACGGGCCAGACCUCUACGGGAGGCAACAGUGGGGAAUAUUGGACGAUGGGCGGAAGCCUGAUGCAGCAAAGCCGCGUGCGGGGUGAAGGCCUUUGGGUUGUAAACCGCGUUCGCCUGUGACGAAGCGUGCGUGACUGGAAUGGGUAAAGAAGCCCCGGGUAAAUACGGG